AUUGAACGCUAGCGGCAGGCCUAACACAUGCAAGUCGAGCGAGCGGCGGACGGGUGAGUAAUGUAUGGGGACUGCCCGAUAUAGGGGGAUACCUCCUGGAAACGGUAGCUCAUCCCGCAUACUCUCGCAUACCCCAAAUGGGAUUAGCUAGUAGGUGGGGUAAUGGCUCACCUAGGCGACGCGCCCUAGCUGGUCUGUGAGGAUGAUCAGCCAGACUGGGACUGAGACACGGCCCAGACUCCUACGGAGGCAGCAGUGGGGAAUAUUGCACAAUGGGCGCAAGCCUGAUGCAGCCAUGCCGCGUGUAUGAAGAAGGCCCUAGGGUUGUAAAGUACGUUCAGUCGGGAGGCGUUACCGACAGAAGAAGCACCGGCUAACUCCGUGCCAGCAGCCGCGGUAAUAC
rnacentral:rRNA from 1 species